UACAGAGGGGGCAAGCGUUGUUCGGAAUUACUGGGCGUAAAGGGCGCGUAGGCGGCCCGCUAAGUCGAACGUGAAAUCCCCGAGCUCAACUCGGGAACUGCGUCCGAUACUGGUGGGCUUGAAUCCGGGAGAGGGAUGCGGAAUCCAGGUGUAGCGGUGAAAUGCGUAGAUAUCUGGAGGAACACCGGUGGCGAAGGCGGCUUCCUGGACCGACACUGACGCUGAGGCGCGAAAGCUAGGGGAGCAAACGGG
rnacentral:rRNA from 1 species